rnacentral:lncRNA from 1 species
ACCAUUUGUAGCAAAGGGACUUCAGGACCCCAAAGAAUUAUCCUUUAAGGAGGAAAAAAGAAAUAUGAUGACACUAGAAGAUCUUAAUAGAAUUAUUGAAAAAGGUAAAGAGAAGAUUCAAGAAGUCAAAGAUAAGAACCAGACAUUAAUUAGUUCUUUAAAGAAGAUGAGAUGCCAGCAAUGCCAGAAGUAUGCAUCACAAUAUGAUUCUACCAGGUUCGGUUGGAGUUUACAGAAUGAAUGCUGGUGCAGUGUGAAGUCAUUCAUGGGGCCACAUGGACCUUGUCUAGUCACAUUCCAGGCCAUUUUUGGAACAUUUUGGGGAAACGCAUCAUCGCUCUGCUGGUGGGAGACAAGUCUGUGUCUCUGCCUGAGGCUGGCAGCCAAUGCAUCUACGCCCUUGACUGCACAUGAAAACAUCUCCUGCCAUCUCUGCCAGGCAUCCCACUACACACACACAGAAGAGGGGAGCAGAAUUAAAUGCUCAUCCAAAAAAAAAAAAUCAGGGAGAAAACAACCACCUCCUAAAUGUGUAUCUCUCUGGAAAACAAGGAAAGAAAGUUAUUUGGAUACAGCCUUCUCAGAACUAAUUUUUAGAUCUCCUGGACUAUUCACUGAAGGUCACCCACUCAGUGCUUUGUGA